rnacentral:rRNA from 1 species
UUAGCGGCGGACGGGUGAGUAAUGCUUAGGAAUCUGCCUAUUAGUGGGGGACAACAUUUCGAAAGGAAUGCUAAUACCGCAUACGUCCUACGGGAGAAAGCAGGGGAUCUUCGGACCUUGCGCUAAUAGAUGAGCCUAAGUCGGAUUAGCUAGUUGGUGGGGUAAAGGCCUACCAAGGCGACGAUCUGUAGCGGGUCUGAGAGGAUGAUCCGCCACACUGGGACUGAGACACGGCCCAGACUCCUACGGGAGGCAGCAGUGGGGAAUAUUGGACAAUGGGCGCAAGCCUGAUCCAGCCAUGCCGCGUGUGUGAAGAAGGCCUUAUGGUUGUAAAGCACUUUAAGUGAGGAGGAGGCUACUUUAGUUAAUACCUAGAGAUAGUGGACGUUACUCGCAGAAUAAGCACCGGCUAACUCUGUGCCAGCAGCCGCGGUAAUACAGAGGGUGCAAGCGUUAAUCGGAUUUACUGGGCGUAAAGCGCGCGUAGGCGGCUAAUUAAGUCAAAUGUGAAAUCCCCGAGCUUAACUUGGGAAUUGCAUUCGAUACUGGUUAGCUAGAGUGUGGGAGAGGAUGGUAGAAUUCCAGGUGUAGCGGUGAAAUGCGUAGAGAUCUGGAGGAAUACCGAUGGCGAAGGCAGCCAUCUGGCCUAACACUGACGCUGAGGUGCGAAAGCAUGGGGAGCAAACAGGAUUAGAUACCCUGGUAGUCCAUGCCGUAAACGAUGUCUACUAGCCGUUGGGGCCUUUGAG